rnacentral:rRNA from 1 species
AGUGAACGCUGGCGGUAGGCCUAACACAUGCAAGUCGAACGACAGCACAGUAAGAGCUUGCUCUUACGGGUGGCGAGUGGCGGACGGGUGAGGAAUACAUCGGAAUCUACUUUUUCGUGGGGGAUAACGUAGGGAAACUUACGCUAAUACCGCAUACGACCUACGGGUGAAAGCAGGAGAUCUUCGGACCUUGCGCGAUUGAAUGAGCCGAUGUCGGAUUAGCUAGUUGGCGGGGUAAAGGCCCACCAAGGCGACGAUCCGUAGCUGGUCUGAGAGGAUGAUCAGCCACACUGGGACUGAGACACGGUCCAGACUCCUACGGGAGGCAGCAGUGGGGAAUAUUGGACAAAGGGCGCAAGCCUGAUCCAGCCAUACCGCGUGGGUGAAGAAGGCCUUCGGGUUGUAAAGCCCUUUUGUUGGGGAAGAAAAGCAGCAGGUUAAUACCCCGCUGUUCUGACGGUACCCAAAGAAUAAGCACCGGCUAACUUCGUG